GCUGGGCGUGGUGGCGUGUGCCUGUAAUCCCAGCUACUCAGGAGGCUGAGGCAGGGGAAUUGCUGGAACCCAGGAAGCAGAGGUUGCAGUGAGCCGAGAUCGCACCACUGCACCCCAGCCUGGGCGACAAAGCGAGAUUCUGUCUCAA
ensembl:misc_RNA Metazoa_SRP Metazoan signal recognition particle RNA